GUCAGAUAGCCUCAGUUGGUAGAGCAGAGACUGAAAUCU
rnacentral:tRNA from 1 species